rnacentral:miRNA from 1 species
AACCUCAUUGACCAGAAGUCAUUCCUUCCGAUUGAUGAGGUGUAACCCUUCCGGUGAUGAGGUAUAACACCUCACCAACCAGAAGGGAUUUCCUUCCAGUGAUGAGGUACAACAACCUCAUCAACCUGAAGGAAAUCCUUCUGGUCGAUGAGGUA